GGUAUCAGAGCAGCCUCCUCUGAAUCUGAGGUGCCACCCACAAGUAUUCCAAUUUCCAGUGCCUCACAUCCAUUUAUGGCCUCCAAGUCGUCUACUAGUUCGGCAUCCUGACAAAUCACGGAUGUCUUAUCUCCUUUCUUUCUCCAUUCGGCAGAUCAUCCUGGUUCUGUAUUGAUUUCAACUCCUCUCAACAGUGAGAAUUAUCUCACUUGGAAACGUGCCAUGAAGAUGGCUCUCAAUGCCAAGAACAAACCUGGCUUCAUUGAUGGUUCUAUCACAAAGCCGACAGAAUCCCAAUCUGAUGCACAACUUUGGGACUGCUGCAAUGACAUGGUUUUGUCAUGGAUUCUUAACUCCAUUGAUAAAAAUCUUGUAGCUAGCCUUAUAUUUCAUGACAGUGCUCAGACUGUUUGGCUUGAUCUUGAAGCUCGUUUUUCACAAAGUAAUAAUCCACGAAAUUACAAGCUAAAGCAGGACAUCGUUACCUUAAAGCAAGAGUCUAUGUCUAUUUACUUCUGUCCCUCCAUGCACUUGUGGGACCUUAAAAUCUCUUCAUCAAGUGCAAGAAACAGAGUAAGUUUUUCAAUUUUUGUUGGGCUUACAUGAUUCUUAUUCUUCAAUUCGAAGUCAAAUUCUGGCCACGGACCCACUUCCUUUUGUAAGCAAAGUGUAUUCCAUUCUUCAUCAAGAAGAGAAACAGAGCCGCCUUCACUUGCCCACUCCUAAUUCUGAUGCUAUUGCGAUGUUUGUCAAUAACAAUUUUUGUUCAAAUCGCUUUACUGAAUCCAAGGGAAGGGGUCGUGGACGCCCUAAAUGUGGUCAUUUUGGGGCUCUUGGACAUUGGAAGGAUACGUGUUACAAGUUACAAGGCUAUCCCACCAAUCUUGCAUAAUCACGCAACUCGGAUAGAAAGGUUACUCCACAGCCUACUGCUAAUCAAGUUUCUGCUACUUCAAGCUCUUCAUCUGACAGUGCAAUUCCAGGUCUCUCAGCCGAGCAAUAUCGACAACUCAUGGAUUUUCUCUCACCUACAAACUCCACUUCAGCCAACUUUGCUGGUAAUCUCGCUUCUUGCAAUCUAGUCUCUUCACCUAAUAAUUCUGAGUGUGUCAUUGAUACAGGUGCCUCAGAUCACAUGUCAUCCCAGUCCUCUUCACUUGUGGGCUAUCAUUCCCUUGAACAUCCAUGCCGCUUAAAAUUACCCACUGGACUUGUCCACGAAGAGGCUGAUUGGAAUGGGUGAAGUCGUGACGGUCUCUAUUACUACAAACCUCUUCCUUCCAUUGCUCUCCAUUCUCAAAGCGCACCAGCCUCCGAUGACUUGGACACCCUUCUUCUUCUUGCAUCCUUACAAGUCUUUCCUAUUCCCCACAUAAUUUUCCAUGUGAUGUUUGUGCUUGGGCAAAGCAUACAUGAUUGCCUUUUCAAUUAAAUCAUAAUAAAAUUCCAUUUAUUUUUCAUCGAA